rnacentral:rRNA from 1 species
UGGUAGGACUAUUAAAGAAUUUCGGUCAUCGAUGGGGAUGCGUUCCAUUAGCUUGUUGGCGGGGUAACGGCCCACCAAGGCAUCGAUGGAUAGGGGUUCUGAGAGGAAGGUCCCCCACAUUGGAACUGAGACACGGUCCAAACUCCUACGGGAGGCAGCAGUGAGGAAUAUUGGUCAAUGGGCGCUAGCCUGAACCAGCCAAGUAGCGUGAAGGAUGACUGCCCUAUGGGUUGUAAACUUCUUUUAUAUGGGAAUAAAGUGCAGUAUGUAUACUGCUUUGCAUGUACCUUAUGAAUAAGGAUCGGCUAACUCCGUGCCAGCAGCCGCGGUAAUACGGAGGAUCCGAGCGUUAUCCGGAUUUAUUGGGUUUAAAGGGAGCGUAGGCGGGUUGUUAAGUCAGUUGUGAAAGUUUGCGGCUCAACCGUAAAAUUGCAGUUGAUACUGGCAUCCUUGAGUACAGUAGAGGUAGGCGGAAUUCGUGGUGUAGCGGUGAAAUGCUUAGAUAUCACGAAGAACUCCGAUUGCGAAGGCAGCCUGCUGGACUGUAACUGACGCUGAUGCUCGAAAGUGUGGGUAUCAAACAGGAUUAGAUACCCUGGUAGUCCACACAGUAAACGAUGAAUACUCGCUGUUUGCGAUAUACAGUAAGCGGCCAAGCGAAAGCGUUAAGUAUUCCACCUGGGGAGUACGCCGGCAACGGUGAAACUCAAAGGAAUUGACGGGGGCCCGCACAAGCGGAGGAACAUGUGGUUUAAUUCGAUGAUACGCGAGGAACCUUACCCGGGCUUGAAUUGCAAAUGAACGGCGUGGAGACAUGCCGGCCGCAAGGCAUUUGUGAAGGUGCUGCAUGGUUGUCGUCAGCUCGUGCCGUGAGGUGUCGGCUUAAGUGCCAUAACGAGCGCAACCCUUACCGAUAGUUACCAUCAGGUGGUGCUGGGGACUCUGUCGGGACUGCCGUCGUAAGAUGCGAGGAAGGCGGGGAUGACGUCAAAUCAGCACGGCCCUUACGUCCGGGGCUACACACGUGUUACAAUGGGGGGUACAGAAGGCAGCUACACGGCGACGUGAGGCUAAUCCCUAAAUCCUCUCUCAGUUCGGAUUGGAGUCUGCAACCCGACUCCAUGAAGCUGGAUUCGCUAGUAAUCGCGCAUCAGCCACGGCGCGGUGAAUACGU